rnacentral:rRNA from 1 species
AUGGGCUCCGACUUCAAGGCCAUCCCUCUGAUCGACAUCAGCCCGCUCGUCGAAAAGAUCGACGACCCUGCCAUGGCCGGCGACGAGGGUCUGCUCGACGUCGUCCGGAUGCUGGACGACGCUUGCAGGGAGGCCGGAUUCUUCUAUGUGAAAGGCCAUGGGAUUUCAGAGCCGCUAAUGACGGAAGUCAGGGAUGUCACACGCAAGUUCUUUCAGCUCCCUCGCGAGGAAAAACUGAAGAUCAAAAUGACACCUCAGAGUGGAUAUAGAGGAUAUCAGAGAGUGGGAGAAAAUGUUACCAAGGGUAAACCUGAUAUGCAUGAAGCAAUUGACUGCUACACGCCUAUCGAACCGGGGAGAUAUGGUGAUCUAGCUAAACCAAUGGAAGGAUCUAAUUUGUGGCCAGAUUAUCCAUCGAAUUUUAACGCGCUGCUGGAAAACUAUAUAAGCCUUCUACGAGAUCUUUCAAGGAAGAUCAUGAGAGGCAUAGCCUUGGCACUGGGUGCGCCGUUGGAUGCUUUCGAAGGCGGAGUGGCGGGAGAUGCUUUUUGGGUUCUCAGGUUAAUUGGCUAUCCAGUCUCAGAUGACAUCCCACAAGAGGAACGCACUGAUAUUGGAUGUGGAGCUCAUACAGAUUAUGGUCUUCUGACAUUGGUGAAUCAGGAUGAUGAAAUCUGUGCUCUUGAGGUCAGAAACCAGUCCGGUGAGUGGAUAUACGCCAAGCCGGUCCCGGGAACCUUCGUUUGCAACAUCGGGGACAUGCUGAAGGUUUGGUCGAAUGGGAUAUACCAGCCCACGCUCCACAGAGUCGUCAAUAACUCCCCUCGCUACCGUGUAUCUGUCGCCUUCUUCUACGAGUCGAACUUCGACGCUGCGGUGGAACCUGUAGAGUUCUGCCGGGAGAAGACGGGCGGCGUUGCCAAGUAUGAGAAGGUGGUGUAUGGGGAGCACCUAGUGCAGAAAGUCCUCACCAACUUCGUCAUGUAA